GUAGUACUUGAGAUAAGGCUUAUAUUCUUUAAUUGUUUCAUGGUGCAUUCACGUGUCAUGUCUAUAUAAUUGGCAUAAAUGUAGUAUAUUAAAGGAUUAAUGGAUAAGUACCAACAUAUUCUUCUACAGCCUAUUUUUUUUUCAUUAGUACUAAUAGCAAGUACCUUUGUUUUCUUCUUUCAAGUUCGUUGAUAGCAGCAGAAAAUAUCUUUUGCUUAAAUUAAUCAAUAGUACCAGCAAGUAUUUGAUUUCUUUUUUUUUUAAUUUUCACAGUAGCAGCAAUCGAUUCUCCUCCUCUUCAAAUUAAUGAAGUGCUACAGAAACUUGUUCCUUCUUUAAAUUUCAACGUAGUGCGGUAGUAACCUAAUAAAGGUUCCUUUUAUGAAAUUUCCUCAAAUUCUCUCAAAUCCAUCCAAGAGCAAGUAUAGCUUUAUUCCUUCGUCGAUUUCAUGAUUAUAAUUUCGGUCCCCUCCGAAUCGUAGCAAUUUCGGGAUAACUUUGUGUUGAAGUUGAAGCUUUCUUCUAGGUGAAGUAUCCUAAGAUUAAGGAUUUUCUUGUGUGAUUGAGGCUAAAGGAGCGACGAGGCGAAAGGGAUUCACGAAUAAGCGCUAAAGGUACAGACGCACAGUUCGGUGAUCCCCCAGUUUAGGAUAUCCCCUUCAGCUGUUUGGAGUGCUCUUCUCAUUUCAGAGCAUACGUUUUUGGUAUAUACUUUUGUUCGUUAUGUAUGUAUAUAUAUUUGUUCCGGGUACGGCGGGGCCCUGUUCCGCCAUAUGAUUCGUUUGGUCUGUUUAGAGGUCUGUAGACUUAUUUGUGGGUGUGUGUGCCUACUACUGUACAGUUGUGUCCAUAUGAUCUCUUUCGUUAUGGCAGCCUUGUCGGCUCGCACAUGUAUAUGUUGUUCUGUUGGCCCUGUGUGGCCUUUGUUGGUAUUUGCUGUGUACAGGGUUAUUUUGGAUAGUCCGAAAAACAAAGGAAACUCUGCCGAAAUUUUCUUUGAAAAUCUUAUAAAUUUGAAACACCGCCUUGUCGGCUUCUGUUAUAUACUUGAAUGCGUUUGAUAAAAUUUGAGAUAGCAUUUGAUA